rnacentral:rRNA from 1 species
AACGCUGGCGGCAGGCUUAACACAUGCAAGUCGAGCGAGAAUGCCAUCUUCGGGUGGUGGACAGCGGCGGACGGGUGAGUAACGCGUAGGGAUCUACCCUAGAGUGGGGGACAACCGCUGGAAACGGCGGCUAAUACCGCAUACGCCCGCUCUGGGAUGUUCCUGCGUCGGAUUAGCUAGUUGGUGAGGUAAUGGCUUACCAAGGCUACGAUCCGUAGCUGGUUUGAGAGGAUGAUCAGCCACACUGGGACUGAGACACGGCCCAGACUCCUACGGGAGGCAGCAGUGGGGAAUAUUGCACAAUGGGCGCAAGCCUGAUGCAGCCAUGCCGCGUGAGUGAAGAAGGCCUUAGGGUUGUAAAGCUCUUUCAACGGUGAAGAUGAUGACAGUAGCCGUAGAAGAAGCCCCGGCUAACUCCGUGCCAGCAGCCGCGGUAAUACGGAGGGGGCAAGCGUUGUUCGGAAUUACUGGGCGUAAAGGGCACGUAGGCGGCGAUGCGGGUCAGGUGUGAAAGCCCCGGGCUUAACCUGGG